rnacentral:lncRNA from 10 species
AACUACACUCUAGUAUAUACUGCUGAAUGAAUGAAUGGACUUCCCUGAAGCAUUGCAACUGUCUCAAUAGUCCAAACAUUUUCACAGGUCUUGCAAAGAAGGACAGACUGCUUCUAAACGGCCUUACAAUUUACAAGGUAAUCAGAAAUGCAUUCGCUACUAUCUGGCCAAGAAAGGUGUUAAUGAGUUUUUGCCAACUAAAAAAAAACGAAGAAUGAGGAAAAAAACCACACAGACAACAGUGUAGUCAGCCUUAAAAUCAGAGGAAAGUGGGAAAGAGGCAGCAG